ACGAGUUAUCUGAACCUUCGGGGAACGAUAACGGCGUCGAGCGGCGGACGGGUGAGUAAUGCCUAGGAAAUUGCCCUGAUGUGGGGGAUAACCAUUGGAAACGAUGGCUAAUACCGCAUGAUGCCUACGGGCCAAAGAGGGGGACCUUCGGGCCUCUCGCGUCAGGAUAUGCCUAGGUGGGAUUAGCUAGUUGGUGAGGUAAGGGCUCACCAAGGCGACGAUCCCUAGCUGGUCUGAGAGGAUGAUCAGCCACACUGGAACUGAGACACGGUCCAGACUCCUACGGGAGGCAGCAGUGGGGAAUAUUGCACAAUGGGCGCAAGCCUGAUGCAGCCAUGCCGCGUGUGUGAAGAAGGCCUUCGGGUUGUAAAGCACUUUCAGUCGUGAGGAAGGUAGUGUAGUUAAUAGCUGCAUUAUUUGACGUUAGCGACAGAAGAAGCACCGGCUAACUCCGUGCCAGCAGCCGCGGUAAUACGGAGGGUGCGAGCGUUAAUCGGAAUUACUGGGCGUAAAGCGCAUGCAGGUGGUUUGUUAAGUCAGAUGUGAAAGCCCGGGGCUCAACCUCGGAAUUGCAUUUGAAACUGGCAGACUAGAGUACUGUAGAGGGGGGUAGAAUUUCAGGUGUAGCGGUGAAAUGCGUAGAGAUCUGAAGGAAUACCGGUGGCGAAGGCGGCCCCCUGGACAGAUACUGACACUCAGAUGCGAAAGCGUGGGGAGCAAACAGGAUUAGAUACCCUGGUAGUCCACGCCGUAAACGAUGUCUACUUGGAGGUUGUGGCCUUGAGCCGUGGCUUUCGGAGCUAACGCGUUAAGUAGACCGCCUGGGGAGUACGGUCGCAAGAUUAAAACUCAAAUGAAUUGACGGGGGCCCGCACAAGCGGUGGAGCAUGUGGUUUAAUUCGAUGCAACGCGAAGAACCUUACCUACUCUUGACAUCCAGAGAACUUUCCAGAGAUGGAUUGGUGCCUUCGGGAACUCUGAGACAGGUGCUGCAUGGCUGUCGUCAGCUCGUGUUGUGAAAUGUUGGGUUAAGUCCCGCAACGAGCGCAACCCUUAUCCUUGUUUGCCAGCGAGUAAUGUCGGGAACUCCAGGGAGACUGCCGGUGAUAAACCGGAGGAAGGUGGGGACGACGUCAAGUCAUCAUGGCCCUUACGAGUAGGGCUACACACGUGCUACAAUGGCGCAUACAGAGGGCGGCCAACUUGCGAAAGUGAGCGAAUCCCAAAAAGUGCGUCGUAGUCCGGAUUGGAGUCUGCAACUCGACUCCAUGAAGUCGGAAUCGCUAGUAAUCGUGGAUCAGAAUGCCACGGUGAAUACGUUCCCGGGCCUUGUACACACCGCCCGUCACACCAUGGGAGUGGGCUGCAAAAGAAGUAGGUAGUUUAACCUUCGGGGGGAC
rnacentral:rRNA from 1 species